rnacentral:rRNA from 1 species
GACGGGGGAUGCAAGUGUUAUCCGGAAUCGCUGGGCGUAAAGCGUCUGCAGGUGGUUUCCUAAGUCCACUGUUAAACCUUGAGGCUCAACCUCAAAUCUGCAUUGGAAACUAGGAGACUUGAGUAUAGUAGGGGUAGAGGGAAUUUCCAGUGGAGCGGUGAAAUGCGUAGAUAUUGGAAAGAACACCGAUGGCGAAGGCACUCUACUGGGCUAUUACUGACACUCAGAGACGAAAGCUAGGGGAGCAAAUGGG